GAAUAGCUCAGUCGAUAGAGCAUGAGACUCUUAAUUUCAGGGUUGUGGGUUUGAGCCCCACGUUGGGUA
rnacentral:tRNA from 1 species